CACCAAUUGGCCGACCAUGCCCAGGAGAAAGGCCUCUGGUUUCUUCAAAAGGGUAUAUUUAAAUACCUUUUUCAUUUCGUUAUGAAUCAUCUCCCAAAGUGUCUUGAUCCUUGGGCAUGUCCACCAAAGGUGAACUCUAAUCCUCAAAUUCGUCUGUUUUUCUUUAAGUUCAAUCAUAGCAAGCGUCAACUUAUGUUCAUCAAAUUGCCUCUGUACAGCUGGGGCUCUCUUUCUCUUUCUCUCCAGUUGUGUUACUUUACAUUCAGCAGCAACGGCUUUUUCCCUGGCUUCCUCCGCAGUUUGCCGUAUCAAAGUAGGUUCCUGUAUCAAUUUCUGGGUGGUUUCUGUAUUGGUAUUAUUUAUACUUUCUAUAUUUAAGUUAAUUUUAGUAAUUGGAACAUCCACUUUCGCAUUUAUCACGUCCAUUUUCCUGUUAAGCUGAUCCAGUGAAUCAUUUAUCUUAUAUAGUGCAGCCACUAAAGCCUCUUCUGUCGACAUUCCUCUUAGUUUUAAAUGUACUGGUACAAAGGCAGCAACAGAAGGAGCAGGGGGGCCUGAUGAUGAACCUCUCCUGGAUUGUUGCCAAGUCCUCCCAGACCUUAAUGUUUUGUCAGCAGUUGACUGGUAUGUUUUUCCUCUUCCAUUUACCAUAAAGUCCGCAGGCAGAUAGGGUCUCAGCCUGCGUAUCAGAUGGAGCUGGUAAACAGCUGCCCUGGACGCAGAUUUGACCUGUGCCUCCAUGGACAGCUGUGAGUCCAAAAUGACUCCCAGGCUGCGCACCUGGUCCUUCAGGGGCACAGUUACCCCAUUCAGGACCAGGGAAUCCUCCACACCUGCCCGCCUCCUGUCCCCCAAAAACAGUACUUCUGUCUUGUCAGGAUUCAACCUCAAUCUGUUAGCUGCCAUCCAACCUCCAACCGCCUCCAGGCACUCACACAGGACCUUCACUGCCUUCACUGGUUCUGAUUUGAAAGAGAGGUAGAGCUGGGUAUCAUCUGCAUACUGAUGAACACCCAGCCCAAAUCCCCUGAUGAUCUCUCCCAGCGGCUUCAUGUAGAUGUUGAAAAGCAUGGGGGAGAGGACAGAACCCUGAGGCACCCCACAAGUGAGGGCCCAGGGGUCUGAACACCCAUCCCCACCACCACUUUCUGAACACAAGUGGUUGGUUUCACUCGUCCAAGCAGCCUGUCCACAUCCUCGGGGUAACAGAUUGGAAUUGAUCCCACACAACUUGACUAGACAGGACUCUAGCACUCUCCCGCCCCGGCCCUGCUCCCACGGUGGAGUCUACCUCUUCUCGAAUCUGAGCGACUUUAUCUGCAAAAAAACUUUGCAAAGUCAUUGCAGGAGAUCAUGUGGCCGCUACUGGGCCCUGAUGGAGCAGGCGGUUCCGCUAAAUUGCGAACCACCUGAAAGAGUCUCCUGCUGCUGUUUUCCGCAGAUGCAAUAGAGGCGGUGAAGAAAGACUCUUCGCCGUCGCUAUCGCCACUUGGUAGGCUCGACAUUGAGCUCUAACCCGUGUCCGGUCAGAUUCAGAAUGGGUUAUCCGCCACCGGCGCUCUAGCCGUCUCAACGAUUGUUUCAUUGCCCUCAGAUCCGUGGAAAACCACGGGGCUGUCCGGACUCCAUGCAAUCGGAGAGGGCGCUUUGGAGCCAAACGGGAUGGUCAGGCAGCACGACUGGCAUGAGCCGAUUGACUACAACACUAAGAGAUUCAAGGUCAGUCCCAGAGUCUCACGGUUUUUAACUUGCAGCUGGAAAUUCCCUAGCCCAGCUCUUGUAAAGCAACCAGUUUCAAAGGCUUCCACUAGGGGGAAACAGUUUCUAUUUGUAAUAGUCAAUAGUAUCCUCUUUUAGACACAAUUCAAACAAUCCAAAAUUAGUUUCAAUUUUCAGUUACUUUUACUCCUUUUUAAAGCAGCCGGAGACAGUAGAAACAAUGUAUUUCUCUUGUUUAGCUAGCUGUCAAUGAACGUUCUAAACGCUGUCAAUGAACAUUCCAAAAGACGUCAGUCCUGCUAGCAGCCCGUUUCCAGGGUCAGAGCGGCGGUAUUUUUAGAUCUCUUCGCUCUCUCCCACAGGCAUACUCAGUCCACAACUUCCCCCUCUCUUUUCCUGCCUCCAAGAGGGGGUUUAAUGUUCUUUGCUGAUGGAAAUUUAGUCUUUUACAAAAGGCUUUCCAGGACUCCAGCUUGCAACUUCAUUGCCUCAGUCUAUUUACAAAAGGGGAAGGCGGACUUCCUGUUUUGAACCUCCCCGUUACGGUACCAAAUUAAACAUUUAGAAAUCCAAUUCUUCCGCUUCAGCUCUACUCACGGGUAAUUACUUUAAAAUCAAAUUGUCCACAGGAAAAGGUCAGCGCUCUCCAGCAACAGCUAUGUGGCUUCGCUCCGUGGAAGAAGCAGAUGAUUCGAAGCACCACGCCGCUCACCCCACGUCGCUCCGGACCCCCAAAACCGGGUUUCCCCGCGAGUAGGGGAGGCGCAAAAGUUGCCCGCCGAAUCCCACGCUCACAGGCUUCUCCCACCUGUGAUUUUAACGGGUCUCCGCCUUCACCGUGGCGGCCAGACCCAGAUUCCCACGGAGCAGAUUCCUCCCGAUCAGAGGAAUUCUGCCAUUACCGGAGGCGCCUCCCCGGAAGUCCUGAACCGCCGACCUUCUGAUCGGCAAGCCCAUGAGGCUCAGUGGCUGGGCUCAUGUACACAAAAUAUGUCAAAAGGGCAUAUGACCUACACCCUGGGGAGUGAUGCCCUUUGACCUACACCCUGGGGAGUGAUGAAUUUGGGGGCUUAAGUCUAGCAAGAAGGAGAACCCAGCAAUGGCUUUACUGGAUGGUUUGCAGGACUGCAAUGAGAUCAAUAGGUUAGCAAGAUGGUUUUCUUGUGAAGGGAGCAAUAACCAUUAUUAGAAGGAAGGUGGGUUGUGGCUUGCAGGUACUUGAGCUCUGCUUGUUAAUUAGGACUUUGAGACUUGAAUCCCCCUCCAGAGAGGACCAUGAUCAGAAAUAAUCGCCUUCUGCACGCCUGGCGAGAGAGCACUUUGUGAUUCCCCGAUUACCAAAAAGGCGAUUGUAUUAUACUGUAGAACUCGAGCUUGCCCUGAAUAAACAUUGCCUUUCCUUCCCAUUAGCAGGUAAUGGCAGCAGCUUAGCCAUUUUUUCUAAUGAUCUAAAAAUGUAAUUGCAGAUCAUGGGUUCCAGCUUCGUGGGGAUUUCUUGGCGGAAGAAAAUUCAGGUGUUUGAGGCUACAGCGCUCCGUGCUCAAAGUGUGUGUCUUCUGCAGCUGCUGGGUUUGACUGCAACAAAGGGUGGAAUAUACUGAACGUCUGGUUCUGCAGCGGAAACAGCAGGAGCUCAGAGUACAAAACAGGGAGUGGUGAACUUGUUUGAGAAAAUAGGGCACAUUUAAUGGAGCACCUCCUUUCUCAUAUGAUUCCACACCUCCUUUCUUCCUUAAACGAAAUUCCUUUCUUUGCCAUCUCAUUUCCCAGACUCUUACCUGCUUCUCAUAGAGUCAUAGGAUUGUGGGGUAGGAAGGGACCCUCAAGGAUCAUUUAGUCCAACCCCUUGCAAUGGAGGAAUCACAGCUAAAGAAUCCCUGGCAGAGGACUAUCCAACAUAUGCUUAAAAACAUCCCGUGAAGGAGAGCCCACCACCUUCCCACCCCUCCCACAGCUACAAUCCCCAGAGUUCCCUGUGAAGAAGGAUGGAUGGUUAAACCAGUCCAGAAAUGGUAUCUGUGGGGAGGAGGGUGGAAUAAGGGCCUCCUAAUAUGGGACGCGGGUGGUGCUGUGGGUUAAACCAUGGAGCCUAGGACUUGCUGAUCAGAAGGUCGGCGGUUCGAAUCCCCGCAACGGGG